rnacentral:snRNA from 1 species
GGCUGUGAGGGUGACAGAUCUGGCUGCAACACCUGUCACUUCAUUGGUUGCCAGGGUUGACUCAGCUGAUCUGACUAGCUAAAUAGGUGUCCCCUUCCUCCCUCACUGGUCAUGGGCAUCUCUCCCAAAGUUGGGUGCUUUGUGGAAGAAGACCUUCUGUGGUUGAGGAAGACCUUUUUUGCAGUCCGAGGUAUGCAAGGAGCUGUGCUCCACAGCUAGAACCUCCAAAAUGAGCUCUCAAAGUUCAUUUGCAGGAGAAUGUGGGGCAGUUAAAUUUCCAAGACUCCAGACAUAUCCAAUUUGGAAUU